AGAGUUUGAUCAUGGCUCAGGACGAACGCUGGCGGCAUGCUUAACACAUGCAAGUCGAACGAGAAAGCUUCUUCGGAAGUGAUUAAAGUGGCGCACGGGUGAGUAACGCGUAGACAAUCUGCCCUUCAGUCCGGGACAACUUUCCGAAAGGGGAGCUAAUACCGGAUAACAAUGUUUGACAUAAGUUGAAUAUUUGAAAGCUCCGGCGCUGAUGGAUGAGUCUGCGUCCCAUUAGCUUGUUGGUGCGGUAGCGGCNCACCAAGNCCACGAUGGGUAGCGGGUUUGAGAGGACGAUCCGCCACACUGGAACUGAGACACGGUCCAGACUCCUACGGGAGGUAGCAGUGGGGAAUAUUGCACAAUAGAGGAAACUCUGAUGCAGCAAUGCCGCGUGAGUGAAGAAGGCCCUUGG
rnacentral:rRNA from 1 species